rnacentral:rRNA from 1 species
CCUACGGGUGGCAGCAGUGGGGAAUAUUGCACAAUGGGGGAAACCCUGAUGCAGCAACGCCGCGUGAGUGAUGACGGCCUUCGGGUUGUAAAGCUCUGUCUUCAGGGACGAUAAUGACGGUACCUGAGGAGGAAGCCACGGCUAACGCCGUGACAGCAGCCGCGGUCAUACGUAGGGGGAGAGCAUUGUCCGGAUUUACGGGGCGGAACGGGAGCGUAGGCGGACUUUUAAGUGAGAUGUGAAAUACUCGGGCUCAACUAGAGUGCUGCAUUUUAAACUGGAAGUCUAGAGUGCAGGAGAGGAGAAUGGAAUUCCUAGUGUAGCGGUGAAAUGCGUAGAUAUUAGGAAGAACACCAGUGGCGAAGGCGAUUCUCUGGACUGUAACUGACGCUGAGGCUCGAAAGCGUGGGGAGCAAACAGGAUUAGAUACCCGGGUAGUC